CCGGAAACAAACAGUACAGCCAGCCAACUUCCACAGCAACCAACCAAAGCUGUUACAAUAAAUCUUAGGGUUUUCGGUAGAGAACUCUAGUUCAGAUUCUCAGUAUAACUCUGGUUCCAACCUAAUGGUAAGAGGAAAGAGAAGACCUCUAGCAGCUUUAGCCGCAGCUGAAGACUAUUCUCUCCAUGGUUCUGUUGAGUCUUUAGACUUUAAUGCUGCAGAAGACCUGCAUGAAGAUGGUAAUUGGGUAAUUGUUAAGAAACAGCGAAUUACUAUCUGGAUCCCUCCUCCUUCUCCGUCUGUGCAUCCGGCUACAGCCCCAGGUCCUCCUCGGACAAACAACAGACAGCACAAGUCCAAGAAAAGAAUAAUUAAAAGACGGCAAAUACUUCCUAACAAGAGACAACAGCCACGAAAACGCCCACAUGAAGGAGAGCUUCAGAACUGUGAUACAGUACUGGAUUCGAGUAAAGGUAUUCAGAUCAGUGGAGGAAAUCUGGACUCCCCACCCAGUUCCAUGAAAAAGAAGUUGCCCAAGCAGGUUUCUAGAAGAAGAACUGCACCAAAAGGCCCAACUAGGCUUACUGGGGAUGAGUCACUCUACCGCCCAGCAACAUCUAAAUCUCUUGUCCCUGAUAAUGAACAUGCAAGGCUGAGUGCUAUUGGAUCCUCUCCACAGAUUAGGGUAUCUAGAGUAUUUGAAGCUGAUAAGAAUAAGAAGAGGCUGCCUACUAAUAAUACUUCCCCCCCACCAACAAUGUUCCGUAGUCAAGGACCUUCUAGAGCUCAUGUCAGAUCGAUCAGUUGUCUGAAUAUGGGUAUGGGUGUACUACAACAGAAUCAAAAGAUGCGUGCGGCAAACCUGGAGAGGAAACUGGAAAAGGCUGGUGGGUUGAGCAGGUGGCUCAUGUCACUUGGGCUAGGACAGUUUGUGCAGAUGUUCCGAAUGCGAAACGUGGAUGAUAAAUUUCAACUGUUGAACCUAAACAUGGGAAAGCUCAAAGAAAUGGGUGCAAUUGCAGUUGGCCCGAGAAGAAAGUUAAUGCAUGCAAUUGACUGUUUGGCAUUUCAAGAUUGUACUCUUAGUAGAGGAAUGAUUUGAAAGGGUUUGGCAAGAUCAGAUAAACUGCAAGGACUCUGUUGCUUUGUUGAUGAUGGCUUUGGGAACUCCAGAAGUGCUGCAUAUCCCCUAAUAUCUUCGCGCACUCCCUUCCGCGUAACUCCAUUCAUCAGUUGUUGAAGUAAUCACAAGAUGUCGUUUCUUGCAAAUGAUUCAGUAUUCAUAUCUGCUCAUGUUAUUAAUUAACCAGAAAUGAACGAAACAGUUUAAAAACUUCCUUGCGUACCUAUAAUGUAAGUUCCCUCCUCACAACGCAUUUUUUUAAAUCAGAUCGGUAUUUCUUCUUAACACUUCUUCUUGGAGAAAGAACUCUUAAACGUGUAAGUAUAACAAUGUCAAUGUAAUUCUAAACACGAACGUAAAGGAACACCGUACAUUACG